rnacentral:lncRNA from 1 species
AUGCCUGGGAAACUCCUCUGGGGGUACAUUAUGGAACUGGAAGCACCCUUGGAGGAGUCCGAGAGCCAGAAGAAGGAGAGGCAGAAGAGCUUUAUGGAUAUCACAGUUUCGGCUAAUGGAUUAUGGACCUGUACUUCCCUUAUAUGGUUUUUAUGAAGAUUUAAACAAGAUAAGCUGAAAAUACAUUACACAGUGCUGGAGUGACAGAAGGAAGUCAAGCCACCAUUAUGACUCAGAUGAGAAAUCAGAAACAAGAGAAAAUGGUGUUACAGAUUACCUGGAUGCUCCCAAGACCAAAAAAAUUAAAAUGAAAGAGAAGCUAAAUGGAGACACUGAAGAAGGAUUUAAUAGACUUUCAGAUGAAUUCUCUAAAUCUCAUAAGUCAAGAAGAAAAGAUCUACUGAAUGAGAUAUUGAUGAAUAUGAAAAAAAAAAAGCAAGUAUCAUCCUUAGAUAGUUCUACUCAUGAAUCAAGUGAUAAGAAGCUAGAGGAGACCUUAACACAUGAACAGAAAGAAGGAACCUUCUCCAAUCUUCCUAUUUCUGAAGAGACUAUAAAGCUUCUGAAAGGUUGAGGGGUAACAUCUCUCUUUCCUGUUCAAGUUAAGACCUUUGGUCCUGUAUAUGAAGGAAAAGAUUUAAUAGCUCAAGCACAGACGGGAACAGGAAAGAAAGACAUUCUAUUUUGCGAUCCCUUUGAUUGAAAGACUCCAAAGAGAUCAAGAAACAGUUUUUUGUUUGUUUGUUUGUUUGUUUGUUUUUUGAGACAGAAUCUCGCUCUGUCGCCCAGGCUGGAUCUCGGCUCACUGCAAGCUCCGCCGCCCGGGUUCACACCAUUUUCCUGCCUCAGCCUCCCAAGUAGCUGGGACUACAGGCACCCGCCACCACCCCCGACUAUUUUUUUUUGUAUUUUUAGUAGAGACGGGAUUUCACCGUGUUAGCCAGGAUGGUCUCAAUCUCCUGACCUUGUGAUCUGCCCAUCUCGGCCUCCCAAAGUGCUGGGAUUGCAGGCGUGAACCACUGUGCCCAGCUCUGAUUGGAUCUUUCUAAACUGUGCCAUGUUGUGCUUGAUGAAGUGGAUCAAAUGUUAGAGUUAGGUUUUGCUGAACAAGUUGAAGAUAUUAUUCAUGAAUUCUACAAAACUGAUUCUGAAGACAGUCCUCAGACUUUACUUUUUUCUGCAGCUCGCCCACAGUGGGUAUGCAAAGUUGCAAAAAAAUGAGUGAAAUCCAGAUACGAACAGAUUGAUGUUUUUGGAAAAAUGACUCAAAAGGCUGCAGCUUCUGUGGAACAUUUGGCCAUCCGGUGUCAUUGGUCUCAGAGGCCAGCAGUUACUGGAGAUGUCCUUCAAGUCUACAGUGGGUCUGAAGGGACGGCUAUUAUUUUCUGUGAGACCCAGAGGAGUGUAACUGAAAUAGCCAUGAAUCCACACAUAAAACAGAAUGCCCAGUGUUUACAUGGGGACAUUGCACAGUCACAAAGAGAAUUUACACUAAAAGACUUCAGAGAAGGUAGUUUUAAAGUUUUGGUGGCAACCAACGUGGCUGCCUGUGGUUUGGACAUUCCUGAAGUUGACCUGGUGAUUCAUGGUUCUCCUCCUCAGGAUGUUGAGUCUAUAUCCAUCGUUCUGGACGCACAGGUAGAGCUGGACAGACAGGGAUUUGUAUAUGUUUUUAUCAACCAAGAGAAAGAGGUCAACUAAGAUAUGUGGAACAAAAAGUAGGAAUUACUUUUAAAUGUGUAGGUAUUCCUUCUACAAUGGAUUUAGUUAAAUCUAAAAGCACGGAUGCCAUAAGGUCUCUGGCUUCUGUUUCUUAUGCUGCUGUUGAUUUUUUCCAACCAUCAGCUCAGAUACUGACAGAAGAGAAAGGGGCAGUGGAUGCAUUGGCUGCAGCUUUAGCCCACAUUUCUGGUGCAUCAGGCUUUGAACCACGAUCUUUGAUCACCUCUGAUAGGGAUUUGUGACCAUGACUCUGGAAAGCCUAGAGGAAAUACAGGAUGUCAGCUGUGCUUGGAAAGAACUUAACAGAAAGCUGAGUAGUAAUGCAGUGUCUCAGAUUACCAGAAUGUGCCUCCUGAAAGGAAAUGUGCGUGUUUGCUUUGAUGUUCCUACAACUAAGUCAGAAAGGUUACAGGCAGAGUGGCAUGAUUCCGACUGGAUAUUCUCAGUGCCAGCCAAAUUACCUGAAAUUGAAGAAUAUUAUGAUAGAAACACAUCUUCUAAUUCCAGACAGAGGAGUGGUUGGUCAAGUGGCCAGUCGGGCCGAUCAGGUGGUCGAUCUGGCAGCCGGUCAGUUAGACAGAGUCCACAAGGGAGUCGCUCAGGAAGUUGACAAGAUGGUAGAAGAUGAAGAGGGAAUAGAAAUCGAUCAAGAAGUGGGAGCCACAAACGGAGUUUUGA